rnacentral:tRNA from 1 species
AGUUAAUGAGCUUGAAUAAGCAUAUAUUUUGAAAAUAUAAAAUAGAAACUAUUAAAAUUUUCUAUUAACUU